rnacentral:rRNA from 1 species
AGAGUUUGAUCCUGGCUCAGGAUGAACGCUAGCUACAGGCUUAACACAUGCAAGUCGAGGGGAAACGACAUCGAAAGCUUGCUUUUGAUGGGCGUCGACCGGCGCACGGGUGAGUAACGCGUAUCCAACCUGCCCACCACUUGGGGAUAACCUUGCGAAAGUAAGACUAAUACCCAAUGAUAUCUCUAGAAGACAUCUGAAAGAGAUUAAAGAUUUAUCGGUGAUGGAUGGGGAUGCGUCUGAUUAGCUUGUUGGCGGGGUAACGGCCCACCAAGGCGACGAUCAGUAGGGGUUCUGAGAGGAAGGUCCCCCACAUUGGAACUGAGACACGGUCCAAACUCCUACGGGAGGCAGCAGUGAGGAAUAUUGGUCAAUGGACGAGAGUCUGAACCAGCCAGGUAGCGUGCAGGAUGACGGCCCUAUGGGUUGUAAACUGCUUUUAUAAGGGAAUAAAGUGAGUCUCGUGAGACUUUUUGCAUGUACCUUAUGAAUAAGGACCGGCUAAUUCCGUGCCAGCAGCCGCGGUAAUACGGAAGGUCCGGGCGUUAUCCGGAUUUAUUGGGUUUAAAGGGAGCGUAGGCCGGAGAUUAAGCGUGUUGUGAAAUGUAGACGCUCAACGUCUGCACUGCAGCGCGAACUGGUUUCCUUGAGUACGCACAAAGUGGGCGGAAUUCGUGGUGUAGCGGUGAAAUGCUUAGAUAUCACGAAGAACUCCGAUUGCGAAGGCAGCUCACUGGAGCGCAACUGACGCUGAAGCUCGAAAGUGCGGGUAUCGAACAGGAUUAGAUACCCUGGUAGUCCGCACGGUAAACGAUGGAUGCCCGCUGUUGGUCUGAAUAGGUCAGCGGCCAAGC